rnacentral:rRNA from 1 species
UACGUAGGGACCAAGCGUUGUUCGGAUUUACUGGGCGUAAAGGGCGCGUAGGCGGCUUGACAAGUCACUUGUGAAAUCUCCGGGCUUAACUCGGAACGGCCAAGUGAAACUGUCAUGCUAGAGUGCAGAAGGGGCAAUCGGAAUUCUUGGUGUAGCGGUGAAAUGCGUAGAUAUCAAGAGGAACACCUGAGGUGAAGACGGGUUGCUGGGCUGACACUGACGCUGAGGCGCGAAAGCCAGGGGAGCAAACAGG